AAAUGUAUCUUGAUGUUUCAUCUCUCUACUUGUGUUUUCAUUCGCUAAAUUCUAACGACCAAAUCCAUACUAAAACAUUGAGGAUUUAGGAGCUGAAACCGAACGGAUUUUCUCCCAGAUCAUCCUUUAAGCUGUGAGUUAGGUUAUGAUUUGUGUGUCGUAGAAUUAUUUGGAUGUCAGGAUUUUAAAACAUUGAGUGGGCUGCGCGUACAUGUAUUUGACUAUGACAAAACGUCAGGGAUAUGGGGAAGAGUGGAGAAAGAAGAAAAGUGAAAGAGAUCAACACUAAGUACGAUAGAGAGACGAGAUAACGGAAAUAACGCCGCGUACCAUUUUCAGGAUGUCGCAAAUUUACUUGCUUGAAGACAUUACCAAAUGACAAUAUUUGUCAUAUCUGAACAUCACAGCCUGAACAGUAUUAUUUUUCUAAUGUAAAAACAACAACACUGCAUGUUCAUUGUUUGAAACCAGAAAUGAGCACUCCGUCUCCCGAAGUUCAAAACCAGUCUAGCAUAGUGUUUGAAUUCUAACUUCUCUCUACUUAAUAUGAGUAAGUAAACAGAAAUUUAUCAAACUUCAGAACUAACGGAAUGUGAAAAUCUAGAUGACAGGCAGUGUUGAAAUUUUUUUUUCGCUAGAAGGAGAAGCUUCAUCGCGUGAGUAACUAGGUCCUACCUGUGAUCAAUACUUCCAAUAUAUUAUAUACUAGUACCUUAAACCCAUUAUUUUUCCUCUUCCCCUUAGAGGGAAACCUUUGUUGUUGGUUUUUUAUUAUCCCCCGCUAAAGCGGGGGUGCAAACAUCAAACAGUGUGAAGGGUUCCGAAUUAAACCUUUAUUUUGACCAUUUGUUUACAAAGAAAACAUAAUAAAGACGUUAGUAAUAUUAGAA